CAUCACUACGCUAGAUGCAUAUCAAUAAGCGGAGGAAAAGAAACUAACUAGGAUUCCCUUAGUAACGGCGAGUGAAGCGGGAAGAGCUCAAAUUUGAAAUCUUCAAGGUUCUACCUUGACGAAUUGUAGUUUAAAGAAGUGUUUUCUGUUGGAGUUUUGGUAAAAGUUCUUUGGAAUAGGACAUCAUAGAGGGUGAGAAUCCCGUAUUUGACCAUUACUUUCCAGCUGUGUGAUACACUUUCAAAGAGUCGGAUUGUUUGGGAAUGCAGUCCAAAAUGGGUGGUAAAUUUCAUCUAAAGCUAAAUAUUGACGAGAGACCGAUAGCGAACAAGUACCGUGAGGGAAAGAUGAAAAGAACUUUGAAAAGAGAGUUAAACAGUACGUGAAAUUGUCAAAAGGGAAGCGUUUGACACCAGUGUUGUUUUCUCGAAAAUCAAUUAAAAAGAGUUGGAUUUUGUAUUGUUAAGACCUUAUCAGCUUACUGUACUUUUUUCUUGCUCUUUUUAAUGCACUUUUCGUUUAACAAGUCAACAUCAAUUUCUUUUGUUGUAAAAGGGUCAUUGGAAGGUGGCUUUCACUUCGGUGAAAGUGUUUAUAGCCUUUGGCUUCUACAAUCGGAGAGAUUGAGGUCUGCAGCGUAGAUCCUUCGGGGUUAGAUACGUAGAUGCUAAGUUAUAGUUUUUUAUAGACAACUUGUUGACUAUGAUUAAUCAUGUAGCUUACUCGUUUGCGCUAUUUUACCUACGCUUAGGAUGUUGAUAUGCAUGACUGAUAU
rnacentral:rRNA from 1 species